ACCAUCCCGGCACUGACGCGAGGAAAGAAGCAACGUGACUAGGACCGGAAGAGGCUUUGGGGCCACUUCCGGAUUGUGGGUCUCCGCCCCUUCGUUCCCGGAAGUGGAGGGAGCGGCGUUGCCAUGGCGGCGUCUCUGGGACAGGUGCUGGCUCUGGUGCUGGUGGCCGCCUUGUGGGGUGGCACACAGCCGCUGCUGAAGCGGGCCUCCUCCCGCCUGCAGCAGGUUCAUGAGCGGACCUGGGCCCGGCAGUUGCUGCAGGAGAUGAAGACCCUCUUCUUGGAUACUGAGUACAUGAUGCCCUUUUUCCUCAACCAGUGUGGCUCCCUUCUCUACUACCUCACCCUGGCAUCAACAGAUCUGACCCUAGCUGUGCCCAUCAGUAACUCUCUGGCCAUCGUCUUCACACUGAUUGUCGGGAAGGUCCUCGGAGAAGAUAUUGGUGGAAAAGGCACAGAGCCUCGUCCACCAUCUGCGCUGCCCUCUGGAGGAGGCGGAAGGCCGUACAGAACAGAGCAUUAGUGUCCCUUGUCGCCUCCAGCCCUCAGCUGAAGUUUCUGACCACAGGAAAGGAAGAGACUUUACAAAUUUGGCUCUGCCCUCUCAUUUAACAAGGCCAAGCUUGAAUGCCCCUGGUGCCUGUGGGAGCUGGGGAGAGAUGCCAUCCGUCUUCAUAGCCUGCAUCCUCCCUCCUGGCUCCCUCUUCCCAUCAGGCUGCCUUAUCCGGGGACAGAGCCGCUGGUGCCCGGCACUCAAGAGGCCCAGUGAAGCCAGGCCGUGUCCUCCGACCCCCACCCAGUGCUCACUGGCUCAUUUCUUGGGAAGGCUCAGGCCUGGGAUCAGCUGGGGAGCUGGACCCUGCUACGCCAAAGAGGCCAGUUCUCUCCCCCAGCGGCCCGCUCGGCCAGCAGAGUCCGCAGGUGUUCGUUGAGCCAGGCUGAGCUGUCUCCAGCUUCUGGUCUGGCCCUUGCCACUCAAGACCUGUGUCUCCCUGAGCAGCUGACUUCACUCCGGGGAACCUGACUGCCUCCUCUGGGAAAUGGUAACCUGUGUUCCACAAGAGGAUGCAGUGCGAUGUGGAGAGAGCCUGAGCUGGAAGAGAGGCCAGCCAGUCACCCCCCUCCUUGCCUGCCUCCCAUGGCCUCCCCCGUCACCUACCCGCGGCUUGUGGGGCUUAGACUUUGGGUCUGGCGGGUGCCUGCAAUGAAAACAAAGGGUUUAUAGCAAGUAGGCAGAGCAGGCAUGGGAUCAGGGUGGUUUCCUCUGCUCUACCCUGCCGCCUCGCCACUGACCCGUC